GAUGAACGCUAGCGACAGGCCUAACACAUGCAAGUCGAGGGGCAGCACAAGGAGCAAUCUGAGGUGGCGACCGGCGCACGGGUGAGUAACACGUAUGCAACCUACCUGUAAGAGGGGAAUAACCCGUUGAAAAACGGACUAAUACCGCAUAACACUGUAGAACCGCAUGGUUUGACAGUUAAACAUUUAUGGCUUACAGAUGGGCAUGCGCAUGAUUAGCUAGUUGGUGAGGUAACGGCUCACCAAGGCAACGAUCAUUAGGGGUUCUGAGAGGAAGGUCCCCCACACUGGUACUGAGACACGGACCAGACUCCUACGGGAGGCAGCAGUGAGGAAUAUUGGUCAAUGGGCGAGAGCCUGAACCAGCCAAGUCGCGUGAAGGAUGAAGGUUUAUGAAUUGUAAACUUCUUUUGCAGGGGAAUAAAGUAGUCCGACGUGUCGGAUUUUGUAUGUACUCUGCGAAUAAGGAUCGGCUAACUCCGUGCCAGCAGCC
rnacentral:rRNA from 1 species